rnacentral:rRNA from 1 species
GACGAACGCUGGCGGCGUGCUUAACACAUGCAAGUCGAGCGGUAAGGCCCUUUCGGGGGUACACGAGCGGCGAACGGGUGAGUAACACGUGGGUGACCUGCCCUCAGCUCUGGGAUAAGCCUGGGAAACUGGGUCUAAUACUGGAUAUGACUCCACGGUGCAUGUCGUGGGGUGGAAAGCCCUGUGCGGCUGAGGAUGGGCCCGCGGCCUAUCAGCUUGUUGGUGGGGUGAGGCCUACCAAGGCGACGACGGGUAGCCGGCCUGAGAGGGCGACCGGCCACACUGGGACUGAGACACGGCCCAGACUCCUACGGGAGGCAGCAGUGGGGAAUCUUGCGCAAUGGGCGAAAGCCUGACGCAGCGACGCCGCGUGA